CACGUAGGGGGCAAGCGUUGUCCGGAUUUAUUGGGCGUAAAGAGCUCGUAGGCGGUUCGGUAAGUCGGGUGUGAAACCUCCAGGCUCAACCUGGAGAGGCCACCUGAUACUGCUGUGACUCGAGUCCGGUAGGGGAGCGUGGAAUUCCUGGUGUAGCGGUGAAAUGCGCAGAUAUCAGGAGGAACACCGGUGGCGAAGGCGGGUCUCUGGGCCGAUACUGACGCUGGAGGAGCGAAAGCGUGGGGAGCAAACAGG
rnacentral:rRNA from 1 species